rnacentral:rRNA from 1 species
GACGAACGCUGGCGGCGUGCUUAACACAUGCAAGUCGAAUGGAAAGGCCCUGCUAUUGUGGGGUGCUCGAGUGGCGAACGGGUGAUUAACAGGAGAGUAACCUGCUCUUGACUUUGCGUUACCUUCAGGAAACUGGGGCUAAUACCGGAUAGGCGCUCCUGCUGCAUGGAGGGGGUUGGAAAGUCUCGGCGGUUGGGGAUGGACUCGCGGCUUAUCAGCUUGUUGGUGGGGUAGUGGCUCACCAAGGCUUUGACGGGUAGCCGGCCUGAGAGGGUGACUGGCCACAUUGGGACUGAGAUACGGCGCAGACUCGUAGGGGAGGCAGCAGUGGGGAAUAUUGCACAAUGAGCGGAAGCCUGAGGCAGCAACGCCGCGUGCGGGAUGACGGCCUUCGCGGUGGAAACCGCUUACGCCUGUGACGAAGCGGGCGUGACGGUAAUGGGUAAAGAAGCACCGGCUAACUACGUG